CGAGAAAGCCCGCAAGGGUGAGUAAAGCGGCGCGCGGGUGCGUAACACGUGGGUAAUCUGCCCUAGAGUCCGGAAUAACUCGCCGAAAGGCGUGCUAAUGCCGGAUGAGACCACGGGAGCUUCGGCUCCUGCGGGAAAAGGUGGCCUCUGUAUACAAGCUAUCGCUCUAGGAUGAGCCCGCGGCCCAUCAGCUAGUUGGCGGGGUAAUGGCCCACCAAGGCUACGACGGGUAGCUGGUCUGAGAGGACGAUCAGCCACACUGGAACUGAGACACGGUCCAGACUCCUACGGGAGGCAGCAGUGGGGAAUCUUGCGCAAUGGGCGAAAGCCUGACGCAGCAACGCCGCGUGUGUGAUGAAGGUCUUCGGAUCGUAAAGCACUGUCGCGAGGGACG
rnacentral:rRNA from 1 species